rnacentral:rRNA from 1 species
UUCGCAAUGCCCGAAAGGGUGACGAAGCGACGCCGCGUGGGUGAGGAAGGCCCUCGGGUUGUAAAGCCCUGUCAGGAGUUAAGAAAUGUAGAUACGCUAAUAUCGUAUCUAUUUGACAAAGGCUCCAAAGGAAGCCACGGCUAACUCUGUGCCAGCAGCCGCGGUAAUACAGAGGUGGCAAGCGUUGUUCGGAAUUAUUGGGCGUAAAGAGCACGUAGGUGGGUUUGUAAGUCAGAUGUGAAAGCCUUCUGUUCAACGGAAGAAUUGCAUCUGAAACUACAAGUCUUGAGUGUAGGAGGGGAGAAUGGAACUUCUGGUGGAGCGGUGAAAUGCGUAGAUAUCAGAAGGAACGCCGGCGGCGAAAGCGAUUCUCUGGCCUAUUACUGACACUCAGUGUGCGAAAGCUAGGGGAGCAAACGGGAUUAGAUACCCCGGUAGUCCUAGCCGUAAACGAUGGGCACUAAGUAGAGGGGUUUU